GACGAACGCUGGCGGCGUGCCUAAUACAUGCAAGUCGAGCGGACGAAUCGAAAGCUUGCUUUUGAUUCGUUAGCGGCGGACGGGUGAGUAACACGUGGGCAACCUGCCCUGUAGACGGGGAUAACACCGAGAAAUCGGUGCUAAUACCGGAUAACACGAAAUGUCGCAUGACGUUUCGUUGAAAGACGGCGCAAGCUGUCGCUACAGGAUGGGCCCGCGGCGCAUUAGCUAGUUGGUGAGGUAACGGCUCACCAAGGCGACGACGCGUAGCCGACCUGAGAGGGUGAUCGGCCACACUGGGACUGAGACACGGCCCAGACUCCUACGGGAGGCAGCAGUAGGGAAUCUUCCGCAAUGGACGAAAGUCUGACGGAGCAACGCCGCGUGAGCGAAGAAGGCCUUCGGGUCGUAAAGCUCUGUUGUUAGGGAAGAACAAGUAACGCAGUAACUGGCGUUACCGUGACGGUACCUAACAAGAAAGCCACGGCUAACUACGUGCCAGCCGCCGCAGUAA
rnacentral:rRNA from 1 species